rnacentral:rRNA from 1 species
UACGGGGGGUGCGAGCGUUGUCCGGAAUCACUGGGCGUAAAGGGCGCGUAGGUGGCUUGAUAAGUCUGUGGUGAAAGCCCGGGGCUCAACCCCGGGUCUGCCGCGGAGACUGUCAGGCUCGAGUACUGUAGAGGCUGGUAGAAUGCCGGGUGUAGCGGUGGAAUGCGUAGAGAUCCGGCAGAAGACCGGUGGCGAAGGCGGCCAGCUGGGCAGUGACUGACACUGAGGCGCGACAGCGUGGGGAGCAAACAGG